GACGAACGCUGGCGGCGUGCUUAACACAUGCAAGUCGAACGGCAAGGCACUGCUUUUGUGCGCUUCUCGAGUGCCGAACGGGUGAGUAACACGUGAGUAACCUGCCCUUGUCUUUGGGAUAAGUUCAGGAAACUGGGGCUAAUACCGGACAGGAGCCCCCGCUCCAUGGUGGGCGUUGGAACGUCUCGGCGGGUGGGGAUGGACUCGCGGAUUACCAGCUUGUUGGUGGGGUAGAGGCUUACCAAGGCUUUGACGGGUCGCCGGCCUGGGAAGGGGGACGGGCUCCUUGCGACUAAGGGAGGGCCCAGACUGGAACGGGAGGCAACGGGGGGGAGUAUUGCACAAUGAGCGGGAGCGUGAGACGACGGCGCCGCGGGCGGAAUGACGGCCUUUGGGUUGUGAACCGCUUUCGCCUAUGACGCAGCGGGUCUGACGGUAAUGAAUAAAGAAGCACCGGCUAACUACGUG
rnacentral:rRNA from 1 species